AGCAUAUCAAUAAGCGGAGGAAAAGAAACCAACAGGGGAUUGCCUCAGUAACGGCGAGUGAAGCGGCAAGAGCUCAAAUUUGAAAGCUGGCCCCUUCGGGGUCCGCGUUGUAAUUUGCAGAGGAUGCUUCGGGUGCAGCCCCCGUCUAAGUGCCCUGGAACGGGCCGUCAUAGAGGGUGAGAAUCCCGUCUGGGACGGGGUGUCUGCGUCCGUGUGAAGCUCCUUCGAAGAGUCGAGUUGUUUGGGAAUGCAGCUCUAAAUGGGUGGUAAAUUUCAUCUAAAGCUAAAUACUGGCCGGAGACCGAUAGCGCACAAGUAGAGUGAUCGAAAGAUGAAAAGCACUUUGAAAAGAGAGUUAAACAGCACGUGAAAUUGUUGAAAGGGAAGCGUUUGCGACCAGACUCGCUCGCGGGGUUCAGCCGGCAUUCGUGCCGGUGUACUUCCCCGUGGGCGGGCCAGCGUCGGUUUGGGCGGCCGGUCAAAGGCCCUCGGAAUGUAUCACCUCUCGGGGUGUCUUAUAGCCGAGGGUGCAAUGCGGCCUGCCCGGACCGAGGAACGCGCUUCGGCUCGGACGCUGGCGUAAUGGUCGUAAAUGACCCGUCUUGAAACACGGACCAAGGAGUCUAACAUCUACGCGAGUGUUCGGGUGUCAAACCCGUACGCGCAGUGAAAGCGAACGGAGGUGGGAGCCCCCUCGCGGGGCGCACCAUCGACCGAUCCUGAUGUCUUCGGAUGGAUUUGAGUACGAGCGUAGCUGUGGGGACCCGAAAGAUGGUGAACUAUGCCUGAAUAGGGCGAAGCC
rnacentral:rRNA from 1 species